AUGUCUUUCAAUUCUCAUACUCGUAAUUGGAAAGUUAUGGAAGGAGACCCAUCAUUUUGCAAUGAGAACAACAUAUAAAACUCUGGACAAUUUCAAAAUCAGGCCAAGCAUCUUAAUACAUAUGCAAAAGAGUUCAUUAUUGGCGAAAAAUACAGAACUUCUCGGCUUUUACCCAUAUAUUUUUUUGGAAUGAACACAUCAUUCAAUUUGGCAUACAAAGUACUAAAGAUUUCAUCGAGAACUUACAGCAGCUUGCCAAACGAAGGCUAA
rnacentral:rRNA from 1 species